AGAGUUUGAUCCUGGCUCAGGAUGAACGCUGGCGGUGUGGAUAAGGCAUGCAAGUCGAGAGGGUUUAGACCCUCGGCAAACGGGCUAGUAACACGUGGGAAUCUGCCCUAGAGUCGUGAAUAACCUUUCGAAAGGAAGGAUAAUACACGAUGUACUCUCCGGAGUAAAGAUUUAUCGCUCUAGGAGGAGCCCGCGUCCUAUCAGCUUGUUGGUGAGGUAAAGGCUCACCAAGGCUAUGACGGGUAGGGGGUGUGAGAGCAUGGCCCCCAGCAUUGGCACUGAGAUACUGGCCAAACUCCUACGGGAGGCUGCAGUCGAGAAUAUUCCACAAUGGGCGAAAGCCUGAUGGAGCGACACCGCGUGCGGGAUGAAGGCCUUAGGGUCGUAAACCGCUUUUAUUAGGGAUCAAUGUAAUGAGCGUACCUAAUGAAUAAGAGGUUACUAACUCUGUGCCAGCAGUAGCGGUAAUACAGGGACCUCAAGCGUUAUCCGGAUUUAUUGGGCGUAAAGCGUAUGCAGGCGGACAUAUUAGUCGUGGGUUAAAUCUCCGAGCUCAACUCGGAAACAGCUUACGAAACGGUAUGUCUAGAGAAAGUGAGAGAUAACUGGAACUCAUGGUGUAGUAGUGAAAUGCGUUGAUAUCAUGGGGAACACCAAAGGCGAAGGCAGGUUAUUGGCACUUUUCUGACGCUGAGAUACGAAAGCGUGGGUAGCGAAGGGGAUUAGAUACCCCCGUAGUCCACGCCGUAAACGAUGCUUACUCGGCAUAUGGAGUAUCGACCCUCUGUGUGUCUUAGCUAACGCGUUAAGUAAGCCGCCUGGGAAGUACGAGCGCAAGCUUAAAACUCAAGGAAUAGACGGGGAUCCGCACAAGUGG
rnacentral:rRNA from 1 species